CCUCUUUCAUCUGAGGCUGCAAGCUACCAACUGAUCCUCUACUUGCACAGGCAGUUACAUGAUUUAAAAAUAUUAGACAACAAGCACACAUGUAUGAUGUAUGCUAAGACUGAAUUCAUUUUUGUUGUGUUAUCUAAAACUCCCAUGUGUCCAAGUGAACUCACGAUCUGCAGGUGGCGCAGAGAAUUGGGAAAACUGAGAAGGGCAAAGGCGAUUAGUCUCUGGAUGGCCAGAUGGGAGAGCAUACUCCAUGUUGCAUCCUGGACUCGGGAGAGGGAGGGCAAGCAGGUUCUCUCAAUCUCCAUCCAAUCAGAUUCGUCAUCUCUCGCUGUGGUGGCCGGCCGCCAUGAGGCGAUUGAUCUC
rnacentral:lncRNA from 1 species